GAUGAACGCUGGCGGCGUGCCUAAUACAUGCAAGUCGAGCGAACGGACGAGAAGCUUGCUUCUCUGAUGUUAGCGGCGGACGGGUGAGUAACACGUGGAUAACCUACCUAUAAGACUGGGAUAACUUCGGGAAACCGUAGCUAAUACCGGAUAAUAUUUUGAACCGCAUGGUUCAAAAGUGAAAGACGGUCUUGCUGUCACUUAUAGAUGGAUCCGCGCUGCAUUAGCUAGUUGGUAAGGUAACGGCUUACCAAGGCAACGAUGCAUAGCCGACCUGAGAGGGAGAGCGGCCACACUGGAACAGAGACACGGUCCAGACUCCUACGGGAAGCAGCAGUAGGGAAUCUUCCGCAAUGGGCGAGAGCCUAACGUAGCAACGCCGCGUGAGUGAUGAAGGUCUUCGGAUCGUAAAACGCUGUUAUUAGGGAAGAACAUAUGUGUAAGUAACUGUGCACAUCUUGACGGUACCUAAUCAGAAAGCCACGGCUAACUACGUG
rnacentral:rRNA from 1 species